GACUGUCCACAGCGAGAGACUAGGGAAGAGACUAGGGGAGGAAGGUGACAGCUAAUGGCAGCAACUGAAGCAGCAGAGAGACAAGCUGAGGCAGUACCAGAAGAGGGUCACGCAGCAGCUGGAGAGGGAACGGGCUUUGGCCAGGCAGCUGCUUCGGGAUGGCAGGAAAGAACGGGCCAAGCUGCUACUCAAGAAGAAGAGGUACCGGGAGCAACUGCUCGAUAGGACAGAAAACCAGAUCAGCAGCCUGGAAGCCAUGGUUCAGAGCAUUGAGUUCACGCAGAUCGAGAUGAAGGUGAUGGAGGGGCUUCAGGUGGGGAACGAAUGUCUGAAUAAGAUGCACCAGGUGAUGUCCAUAGAGGAGGUGGAGAGGAUCCUGGACGAGACCCAGGAGGCCGUGGAGUACCAGCGGCAAAUUGAUGAGCUGCUGGCAGGAAGUUUCACCCAGGAGGACGAGGAUGCCAUCCUGGAAGAGCUGAAUGCAAUCACUCAGGAACAAAUCGAGUUACCAGAGGUUCCUUCGGAGCCCCUGCCUGACACAAGCCCAGAAGCCCCUGCCAAGGCCAGAUCCAGGCAGGCAGAGCUGGUGGCCGCUUCGUAACCUCCAGGGACUCAUAGGGAUUCUCCGAGGACUGUCCCACAGAGCCUUUGGCUGCGAGUCAACCCUGAGGGCUCCCAGGAGGCCUG
rnacentral:lncRNA from 1 species